rnacentral:misc_RNA from 1 species
GCAGGCUUGAAGGACAUGGUUUUCAUCUAUACCUCAUCAGCACCGCGAAUGCCACUUUUCAGGAUAUCAUACUUGCAGAGAGGGCAGGUGGCAUUUAUGUACAGCCAUUUGUCUAUGCAGGCACAAUGGAAGUGAUGACUGCACGGAAGUUCACGCAGCUCCACCCCAUCAUCAUAUGCUGAAAGGCAGAUGCAGCAUUCAGCAUCCUCU